GAUCCUGGCUCAGGAUGAACGCUAGCGGGAGGCCUAAUACAUGCAAGUCGAACGGUAACAGGUAGCAAUACGCUGACGAGUGGCGCACGGGUGCGUAACGCGUACACAAUCUGCCUUAUACUGGGGCAUAGCCUUUGGAAACGAAGAAUAAUUCCCCAUAAUAUAUAGAAGAGGCAUCUCUUUUAUAUUAAAGCUCAGGCGGUAUAAGAUGAGUGUGCGUCCGAUUAGGUAGUUGGUGAGGUAACGGCUCACCAAGCCAACGAUCGGUAGCUGGUCUGAGAGGAUGAUCAGCCACACGGGCACUGAGACACGGGCCCGACUCCUACGGGAGGCAGCAGUAGGGAAUAUUGGACAAUGGGCGCAAGCCUGAUCCAGCCAUCCCGCGUGAAGGAUGAAGGUCCUCUGGAUUGUAAACUUCUUUUCUUCGGGAAUAAAAACUGGGGUUCUCCUCAGCUUGAAGGUACCGAAGGAAUAAGCACCGGCUAACUCCGUG
rnacentral:rRNA from 1 species